UUUCGGAGAUGCCGGUGUUGAUCGUGGCUAUUCUGUGGUGGAUGUUGAUGGUCACUUUUCAAAAGACUCAACUGACUAAUUAUCGCGAGAUUCAUCGUGCAACGUUGGUUGUGUGCCUUCCGGAUAAUCGACAAUCAAUCCGCUCCUCCUGAAUCGGUAUUAUGUCGAAUUCGUGGCUGGUCAGGUAUCGUGCGCGGAACCAACCUACGAGAUCUCGGGAUUUUCCAUCCGAUUCGCGAUUACAUGGAUCUUCUACAACCACUAAGAGGUAUAUCAAUAAAGGAUCGAGUGGAUUCGGAGUUUGAGAUUUUUUGUAAAAGAAUUGAUUGCUCUGGCUUAAGGUAUUUUGAUUGGGCUGAUUCUUGAUGGGACUAAUACCGGAACAGGUUGUAUUGGUAAGAUCGUUUAGGUAUUUCAUGUGGUUUUCGGAUCUGGUUGAUAUACUUGGAGGUAUGUUUGCGAGGGGUGUGUGUAAGUCAUUGUUCUGAUGUUAGCUCUUGUUAAUGGACCUUUGCCAUGUCAGGUGCGCUUGUAUGGCAGGUCCGAAAAGCUUUAAUAAAAUGGUUAUAAUUUUUUUGUCUGGGGAAGGGAAGGUAUCGGGGGUUUUAUUUUAGUUUUUUCCCCGAUUCUUUUCCCUCUCCCCGUGGUGUCGUGUUUUCCCCUUUCCCUUUCUCCCUUAAUCUCUCUUCUCCGCCCUCUGAAUUUUUAUAUAUUCUGGUUCGCUUACCGCGUAACGGCUCAACAAAACGACAAAACGAUUGGCUACUCGGCAAAGGUACAUAACACUUUAAUUUAGUUUAAUUUCGUUGUUUAUGAAUUUACCCUUCAAUUUUACAAUAUCCAAUUAAUAGGGUUGUUUCAUUUAAUCGUAAUUAAAAUUUAAGGCAUGGCUACAAUUUAUGCAUAUUUCAACUAUUUCUUGACAGUAUGUUCUACAAUUUCGCAAAUAAAUUAUUUGUUUAAACAUAUAUACUCUGCCAUAUUGUGAUUUGUAAUUUACAUCAAUGGAAUUGAUUUGAAGGGGGUUUGUAAUAAAUUAAUGACUAAUAAGAAAUUGCUAAACUUUAUAGAAGGAGAUUUGGACAAUAUAACUUGCACCUUUCAGUUCUGUGGUUUUAUAAACGUUAACUUGAUUUAUUAAAGGUAAUUUAUUAAACUGAGGCAUAGCAUGAUUUUUAAUAUUUGUUCCAAAUUUAUAUAUUAUUCAACAAUUGAAUCAAGGUGGCUUUGGAUUUACAUUAAAAUGAUCUGCAAAUGUUUCUAUUAUUCUUUGUUGAGCGCUCAUGCAUAUCAACAACUAGUUCAGCAAUUGAAUCAAAGUGCCUUUGGAUUUACGGUAUAAUAAUUUGCGAAUGUUUAUAUUUUUUGUUGAGUGCACAUGCACAUCAACUACUUCAUUCAUAUCAGAUGCGGUGCUUAAUCAAUUGUUUCAUUGUUUUUAGCACACACACACACAAAUUUUUUUAACUUAUCUCUUUAUAAAUAACAGUCAAUAUAGUAGAAUCCUGCAUGUAUUAUGAUAGUCUCUUUGGUUAGGGUGAUGGCUUACUGCAAUAGUAUAAUGGAGCUAUUAUUGAUAAACAUUUGUACUUAGUUCUUUAAAGGAUCAUUGGGAUUUUGAUGUACUUUUAUGUGUCAAAAGUCUGCCAUGGUACCCGAGGCAGUGAUUACAGAUUGCUGUAAAUAGCUGUACCUAGUAUAGCUUUAAGGUUCCUUAUGUCUGCAGUAUUCUGGUUUGGAUCAGCAUCGAUAUUGGCCAUUGUCGAGGACUGUGCCACUGGCCUUACAUGUUCCUUUGGAGUCUAGAUAGUAUUUGAAAAGAAGUUUGAGAUCAUGCGGAGGAUGAAAGUACGUGCUAGUCUGUUUUUGCGAAGCGGAGAAGGACCUUCAGACAUGGAAGAAAUGUGUGUUGAUCUCGGACCAUUACAUGUUAUGGGUUAGAUAAUAAUCCUCAUUCAAUUGAAAAUUUCGAUCCACGUCGAGGCUAUUUUAUCAAGAGAUUUGACUUUGGUGCUUCAUCAAAUGAUGCUGGAUCAACAACAAGCCACAGUGCAUUAUAAUCAAACGAUUGUUUUAUGUCCGGUCACGUAACGUCGACGUUAUCGGUCACGUCUUUUAUAUUUGACGACAUCUUAGGGGAUCUGUAUGUUGUUGACGAAAUCUGAAGUUGGUGGUUGUUCUCAACUUCUCAUAGCCUUGGUCAUUGUUAUUGAAAAAUUCGUCGUUGUUCUGUAGUCUUGGGAAAAAUAUUUGUCUCUGGUUUGUUCUCUACUCCAUUCUUUAAAACUAUGAACAUGCUAAAACAGUUUUUUCCAGCUAUUUUUGUAGAUGUUUUCAUGCAGAGAUAUUUUGGUGCAUUUUGGCCGUUGCAGGCUAAUUAGUGAUUUCAUCUAUCAUUAUCCCGCUACUUAUUGUUAUUAGUUUUGGUUUUUUACUACCCUUGUUUCACAACAUAUUGGUUAUCAGAAUUCGGUUUCGUCGUUAUAUUUUGGGAAUCAAAUUUUGUGGGAACCUGUCGAACAGGAUCCCAGGUCUAACCUGUUCCGCAGCCCACCACACCAAAACAUGAUGGGUGAACGCGAACAAAGGCCAAUAGCCAUAAUAGCCUAACGGUUGACCGGUCACAAAGGACACUUGAGACAGAGCCCUCUUAACGAAGGGUACCUCAAAUACAUUCGUCCCUAAUGUUGUGAUGGAUUAUCAGGAUGAUCAUCCUGGUUUGUAAGUUAUUGGAUCGAAUAUAGUUUCGAUAAAUACUAAUUAAUACUCAGGGAGGACCAUAUGCACAAUGUUGUUUGUAUUUUCUAUAAUCUGAAAUUGAAUAUUCUUAUAGCAUACUCUUUAAUGUUUCGUAGUCUUCUAUACAUACAUAAUUGCUGCAUUUUAAAUACGGUAUUUUAGUAAUUUACUGUAUUUUUAAUUUUGAACAAUAUUGAAAUUGUUCAUAGGUGUGUUCAUUGGUCCUCAUAAUUUGGGGUUUUAAUGUUUGUGUGCUCGACAAGUGUAUAAUUACUUUUAGAACAACCGUUUUAUGGAAGUAGUUUGUUACUUAUUUUGAGUAGUUUAACUACUGAUUUUAACUUCUCAUCCUGCUCCUUAAUUUCUCCUAAUUGCUUGUUUUUAUUCAUUUCGAAAAUCUUUUUUCUUUAUUUGUCUUUUGACAACUAAAUACUUAAUUUCAUGAAGUAUUGUACAAUUUUUUGGCUUAUAAACUUGGUAUGCAACCUUGUGAACGAUACAAUGGAUCCACUAGCUCGAAUUGGAACGAGCGCCCAAUUGCUGUUGCAUAUGGGGGAGGUUGGUGGUUCGAAUCCACCUGGAUCCGCCAACACACGUGACAUUAAAAUUUACUCGCGUUAUUUUAGAACAAUAUAAAUAGAGAAAAGUAGCUUAUGAGUUUAAUACAUUCAAUUGGGUUUAAGUCUCCAAGAAAACUGAUGAAAUCCAUUUAGUUAUUCAUAUUGCAUCAGUUGAAAAUCUGACUGGAUAAGAUAUUGAGAUAUUCAUCUUGAGAAAAAUUUUGUAUGUUUUGAUUUAUAAUUAUUUGUUUGGUCUGUUCUGUUAAAUAUUAUUUCUUUUUGUGACAGCUUUGCACAUCUUAUUUCCUUUGAAUUUUGAUGAAAUCCAGAGACUACUUGGCUGAUAGGAUGUCAAUUUUUAACAGUUGAAGGGUUUGGCGACUGAUGCGUGUGUGGAGAUACACUGGCUGGUCCUCUCUACCUUGGAAAGUAAUCAGGUUUAGAUUUUUGUGGAAUUAGAUUUCUGAGCAAUUAUACUUCUGGAGUUGGCAUUGAUAAAUGUUAGGUUCACUCGCUUCUUUAGUAAUGUAUAUCAUCUCAGACUCAUUAAAAAUUAUGAGAUUUAUGUAGAUUUUACGUUCUUUUGAUAAGUUUCUUUAUGAUUUUGAAUAUCUAAAAACACCUAAUGUCUACCCCUUUCUAGAGAGUAGUGGGACUUGAAUACCAAAACAUGUUGUGGAGUUGGGGAUAUAAGUUUGCUCAUGCAACCAGUUGACAGUGGCUUGCGACCCCAUUUAAAACUUGCAUUUUAGUCGACUUCUGGUAUCAGUCACAUUUCCAUUAGUUUAAUCAAGACAUCGUUGAAGAGAGUCCUCACGGUACAUAGUUCUUAGGACAUUGAGACUAAAAAACUAAAAUAAUAGGGAUUCUAUAUUUCAUAAUUUUUUUAGAUUGGAUAUCUAUUUUUCCAAUUCAGAUUUUGUACCAAUCGAAACACUUCAUUUUUCUUUUGAUCCCGUUCUACAUCUCUGUAGAUUAUUUUAGACUGAAUCAAAUCCCCUUAGCUCCGAGGCAACGAUAGCACGACACUGAGCUUCCACGUUUUCUUGUUAUCGUUGUAAGUUUUUUUUAUAAACUCUGUUUCUGUUCGGAUACAUAAAUCGUUGUAAGUUUUUUUUAUAAACUCUGUUUCUGUUCGGAUACAUAAAUCUUCGUUUCCCGUGAAAAACCUUGCAUGUUUUUGCUCAUCUCUUAAUUUUCAAGACUCAUUCUGGACAAGUGGAAAUUGUGAUGGGUUUUUAGUUUUCAAGACCUGGAAGGAACAAAAGAAAUUUUCUUUUUCAGACAAUUCACUGCGGAAAUUUCAGUAGCAGAUUAUGCUACAACAUGUGAGGCUUGCAUCAGAUGACACCUGCAAACAAGAAGUUUCCUAUAUUUUCAUCAAAAGGGUGCUAUGGAGCUUUCAGUAAAGUAUUCAAUUUUUCUUUCAAGUGACGCCUGAAGGUUUGUGUCAAUUUUUUCUGUUUACGGUUUAAUUUUCUUAAGAGGUGGAGGAACUCUUUGAAAUAGAAGAAUACGAGGCUGAAUAGUUGUUACUGGUUUGAAAGCUACAAGUUUGAGUUGAAAAGUUGAAACUGAUGACAGUUCCAAAUGAUAAACUAUUAGAACAGGCUCAAGAUGAAAGAGAUUCAUUGCAAGUGUUGUGAUAUUCUCAUUGCAAGUUGUAAAUUAUAUAUAUUUGAACUUGAAAAGAUUGCAAAGUAAAGCAACUUCAUGAAAGAGGAUGUCUUUAGGGUAUAAAAUACUGUC